rnacentral:rRNA from 1 species
AUUGAACGCUGGCGGCAUGCUUGAGACAUGCAAGUCGAACGAACGAGCUUGCUCGUUAGUGGCGGACGGCUGAGUAACGCGUAGGUGACCUGCCCCGAAGUGGGGGAUAACUGCCCGAAAGGGUGGCUAAUACCGCAUGUGGCGACACUUUCAUUGGUGUCAUCAAAGCCGCGAGGCGCUUCGGGAGGGGCCUGCGUCCGAUUAGCUCGUUGGUGGGGUAAUGGCUCACCAAGGCGACGAUCGGUAGGUGGUCUGAGAGGACGAUCACCCAGACUGGGACUGAGACACGGCCCAGACUCCUACGGGAGGCAGCAGUCGGGAAUUUUGCUCAAUGGGCGCAAGCCUGAAGCAGCAACGCCGCGUGCGGGAUGAAGGCCUUCGGGUUGUAAACCGCUUUUGUCAGGGACGAUGAUGACGGUACCUGACGAAUAAGUCACGGCUAACUACGUGCCAGCCGCCGCAGUAAUAC